GCUCCUGAUACAGAGAUUCUUCCCUUGAGUUCUUUCCAUUGGAGAACCAGGUCCUCGCACCAGCAGAAGAAAGAUGUCUUGUCAGUGGAACCAGUGCUCCUCAAGCUGUCCUCCCAUGACCGUGUCCAUCCAACCACCACCUUUCAUGGUGAAGGUUCCAGGGCCAUCCAUGUACUGCGCCGACCGACCCCUGUGCAUAGAGCAGUGCAACCCUUGUGCUCCAUACUGCCCGCCCAUCGGCAACGUAUGCAACCCUUGUGCUCCAUACUGCCCACCCAUCAGCAACAUAUGCAACCCUUGUGCUCCAUACUGCCCGCCCAUCAGCAACGUAUCCUACACUUCCCUUCCCAAGGCUCCAACCAAGUGUUUCCAGAAGCCACUGUCAAGAUUCCAGAGUGAUUGCUACUCUUGCUACUAAUGCUGAGCCCAAGACCUGCAACCCUCCAAAGAGUGAAGAGCCAAGAGUUAGAAAUCCAAGUUCAGUUCCCGUAAUGCAUGUUUGACUUGCCCCACUUUCUCAGCGGGGAAUUGGUUUCCCAUGUUGCAAAAAAAAAAAAAAAAAAAAAACAAAA